rnacentral:lncRNA from 1 species
GUGAGUAAACUUGUAAUAGCUUGCUUGUGUGUUACAUUCUAACUUUCCUGAGAAUGGACUGUGGGAUGACGACUGCCAAUGUAUGUCGGAGGUUUACUCUGAUUCUGAUAUCGUGCUGGGUCCUUUAAGGGCAUCAUGACAUUCAAAUUAUUUUCAUAAUCCUAGGAGAGAACUACUCUUGCUUCCCCAUAUAACAGAAUGGAAAAGAGAGAUUGAUGAAUUUUUUUUUUUUUUAAAGCUGGAAUAUGCUGCUUAUGUUUUGAUAUUUAUCAUUUUCAGUAUUGGAAGGUGAGCUUGUUUCCAAAUUCUGAGACAGUCUCACUGUGGUAACUAAGUGGGAAUGGUAGUUUCUUGCCUGCUGUAUCCCUGCUUUCAAGGUCACAGAAGCAGAGAAUUGACAUGAGGCUAAAAAGAAAAUGAGUGUACUUAAUGAUAAGAAUUUAUAAUGAGAUUUCAAAUGAGCAAAUAGACCCAUUUUGGGAUCAUUUAAUUUUUUUCUAUGCAGCUUAAUAGCGUUGCAGUAAAGGUUUGCUAAUUUAAGAAUUUUGGGCAGCACCUGUCUGAAUUAAGGAACUCUGAAUCACAAAAUAAUUUUGUGGAAAUUAAGUUUUAUUACUUUUCUGAUACAUGUAAUUGGCCUAGCAGGAGCUGGGAAAACUAAGCUUCUCAGUUCCUUGCUAGAAUGGUGUCUUUUACAUUAUUACUCUAACUUCCAUAUUGUUUAUGCUAUUAACUGCCUUUUAAUUUUAAUUUUUCUCUACAUAGAGGUCAGUUCUUCGUAAGUCUUUCAUAUACAGCAUCACAUUUAAUAUUCACAAGGACUCUUGUUUUUUCAGACCAGUUAAUUUGAUGCAAAAGGAGAACAGUGAAAUGAUCUCUUCAGGACAUGGCUGGUUGGCCAGAGCCUGGUUUAGAACCUGUGUCAUUUGAGGCACUUUAUUAUCACUACACAAAUCUAUGCUGUUUAGACAGUUGGUAUAUUAUUAUUAUCAAAGUUUGUUUUGCAGCAUCUGAACUUGUGUUUUUCCCCUCCCUCUGUCCCUGUUUUUCUUCCUUCCUUGGUUCUUUCCUCCCUUUCAUCCAUCCAUCAAUCUUGAUUUAUAUUUCUGAAAUAUGCAGAGAAUGUGUUUGUCUUAAGCAGAUUUUGUGCUUUUUAAUUUUUUUUUUUGCUGCCUUUAAAAUGUGCCUUAAGUUCUUGUUGCAAUUCAAAUCUAUGCUUUUUGGAUUGGAUCACUUCAGAAUGUGGUUAGCUGUUUCUUAGUGUUUUGUGAUUUGGAAUAUCCAUCUAAAAUUUAUCUGAAAUAGUCCCUGUAAUUGACUAUUGCAAUGUUUUAAGGCAGGAAUAAAGUAGAUCCUACCUUCUGUUCUCUAAAUUCUGCUUGUAUUCAGAACUCUGAAGAUUGUAAUGGAACUGCCCCUGGCUGUCUUGAACAAACAAAUACCAUUAUAAGGAAGUUAGGGUGCCUAGUUCCCAAGGGACAGGAAUGUGGUGAGUUUCAGUGUCAGCUAGAAUCAGGAACUUAGGGCUAUUUAUCUUCUUUGCCUUCGCUGCUCCUAUCAUACCCUCUCUUUUCUGCUUCCCUCUCCAUCAAUACUUAAUCUUUGUAUCCCCCACUCUUUCCUGCCCUCCUUUAUUCCUCUUUCUUCCUCCUUCUUCAUGCCCUUCUCUUACCGCUUUUUCCUCUUCUCCCUUUUUUCUCCUGCUCUUCCCUUUCCCUCUUUCCCUUCUCCCCCUCUCCUCAAAUCCUUUCUCCUUUCUUCUUACUCUCUUUCCUAGCAAGUACUCUUACUGUAUCAUAUCUCAAAUAAUACAAGGACUGGUGGCCUCACAUUUAGUGUUGGUAAGAUUGAUCAGUGAGUUCAGGUGGUAAAAGCCUAAUUGUUUUAUUGUAGAAUUUCUCAUCAACCUUCUACCUAACUAAUGAUUUUGUCAUUCACUGAUGACCAUUGCCUUGUUUAGGGUUGCAAAAUAGAGCUUUCCUUAUUAUAGCAUUCCUUUCCCAUAUAUUAUCUGGAAUUCCCUUCCUGCCUGCCUGCCUGCCUGCCUACCUACCUGACUUAUUUCCUUCCUUUUUUUCCGCUCCCACUUCAUGUGGAAGUUCCCAGGCUAGAGUUCGAACCUGCACCACAGCAGUAACCAGAGCCACAGCAGUGACAACCCUAGAUCCUUAACCUGCUGAGUCACCAGGGAACUCCUUGAAUUGUUUUCUGUAGAAUUUUUUUUAUCUACUAUGGCUAUUUGGUUACCUUGAAAUACAGUUUAUAUGAGACAGUUUUCUUCCUUAUCUAUGAGUUUUCAGGAUACUAAGUUGGAUCUUCAGAAUGCAUUGCAUUUUAAAAAAUCUCCCCAGAUUAUUUUUGUGUACAGUUGUGGUCAGGCACCAAUCUCGAGCUUAGAUAUGUUUCAAAUCCCAAAGUUUUAUUGCUUAUUAUGAAAGCAGAUUUACAAGAUAGCUAUUGUUUUUUACUACAUGAUAUGUUCUUUUGCCAGACAUUAUCACAGCAUAUGGAUUUCAUUCAAAGCAAUUUAUGUAGGAGUGUUCUGGGAGGUGCCUGUUUAUUUUUGUUAAGUUACAAACUAAAGUAAAUGAAUCAUAGAGGAAGCACUCUGCAGGCAACCUGAAAACAACAAUACACUAGCACUUCUUCAAGGCUUAUUUUGUGCCCAGCUUUGUGCUUAGCUCUUCAGAAUCAUUUGUAAAGCUCAUGUGACUCUCAUAACACCUUAUGGAAACAUCUAAUUUUUUAUGCAACGGAGGAGGAACCAGAAACUGAAAUUUAUCUACUGUCUAAAGUCAUGGGAUCAGAGCGGAGCUGCAGCUGGGGAGUGCAGACGUUUGGGAGACCCAGAGUCUGGGCAGCGGAUCCCAAUUCUCCACUCCUUACAGAGUGGGAUGUUUCAUAUGUUUACUCCCAUUCUAUUCUUUGUGUGGAUUUUUUUUUUUGCUUUUCCUCUGUGGCCAAAAAAAAUGGAAUGCCUCUGUGUUUUUAAUCUUUAAAAAAAUGGUCUUGUGUAUAGUUGUAUAUGAUGGUUGGAAUUUUUAUUAGACCAUUAUAACUAGCCUUUUUCAAAUGGUUAAAUGUGGUUGCUUACCUUUGUAAUAUCAUUCAGUCAUAACGCUGGCAGGUUAGUUGUUUUUAGCUCUUGUGUGUGUCUGAGGAAAUAGGCUGAAGCAAGUUAAGUACUCGGCGUCACUCAGUGAACUUUGAACCAAGGCUUCUCUGAUUGCUCAGUGUUUAUUCUUAACCACCUUGUGCUGGGGAGGUAGAGGAAGAGUUAAUAGGAAUUAAGAGUGGUUUGGAGAGUAGCACAUAACCUUCUCCAGAAGCCACUCUAGGUUUCUCAGCCAACAAACACCAUGCAUUUUAGAGUAUGGGCCAAUUAACUUUCUCAAUGUCAGAACUUGGUCAUAUCUCUGUAGUCUGUUUCUUUUUUUAAGUUACUCCCUAAUGAAGGAACAAGGUAUUGACUAAUCAUGACCAGCUCAGAAUUUUGCUGUGGUUUUUCAGUAGGUGUUGCUCAUUAUUUGGAAAUAAGCACUCAAAAGACAUCUUGUAUCUUAUUUUUCUGUGGUUUGCCUUAUUAUAGAUAAAGAAUUUAAACUUCUUAAAGCAUGCUGGUGUUAUUUUCUCCAGUGAUUAAAGCUUAGAUUUUAGAGGUACAUAAUUUUACCUUACCAAAAAAAUUUCUUAAAAUCUGGAAGCUCAUAAAUAGACUACAAUGAAUCCUUACAAUAUUCUUUGGUAGGAAAGACACAGUCAUUAAACAGCAGCAAAUUAACUUAGAGGGAGAAAUAAUUUGAAGGUAUAUACCAAACACCCUUGUGUAUACUGCAAGUGAAAAGAAGAUUCAGAUGGAUGGCCUUAUUUAUUUAAAGAAUAGGGGGAACCUUUUAUGUGUGAGUUGGAAAAAUCCAGAAAAAGUGAAAAGAGACCAAAACAAACAAAAAAAUCCACAGGAAAUAUAAUAAGCAGAAAUGAAUAGUGGCAACCUGAACUGGCUAACCAUGCAUUCUGAACUGGCAGAACAAGGGUGUUGACUUUGAGAGUGGGUUUCAAGCUGCUACAUGGCCUGUCCCCAUAUAGUUCUGGUAUGACUAGGACAUCUCCUUGUGAGACUACAAGCAACUUGAGGGCAAGAACCAAGCACUUUCCUUUUGUGUCCUAAGGAGUCAACAUAGUGCUUGGCAUUUUAUAGGCUCUGUUAAAUGUGUACCGGAAAAGUGUAUCUUAUACUUAUUAGGGGUUUGUUAAAAAUUCUAUUGAGAGUUAUGAAAUAAUGAGCCUUUAGGACAGUGGUUCUUAAACUUUUUUGGACUCAUAAGGACACAUUUAUAAUCUUAAAAAUUAUUGAUACAAAAGAACUUUUAAUCAGGUGGAUUAUGUCUACCAAUAUAUGUCAUAUACAACAUUAACACUGAGAAGUUUAAAAAGCAGUAAUAAAAUAAUUCCAUUACAUGUUAACCUAGAACAUAUUUUUGUGGGGAAAAAACCCCUACCAUUUCCAAAAGGACGAAAAAAUAGAAGACUACCAUUUCUUUACAUACUUUAUAAUUCUCUUUAGUUUCUAGUUUGCUCAAAGAUAGCUCGUUUUUUAUAUAUGCUUCUGCAUUCAGUCUCUUGUGAUAUAUUUUUGUGGAAAAUAGGAAAGAAAGGGAUGUGUAUUUUAAUACGCUUAGCAAAUAAUUGUGAAUAUUCUUCUUUGGUACUGCACUAAAAUUUUACAGAUUGUAAUUUUUUAAAAGUUAAUUUCAGGAGUUCCCAUCGUGGCGCAGUGGAAAUGAAUCCGACUAGGAACCAUGAGGUUGUGGGUUUGAUCCCUGGCCUUGCUCAGUGGGUUAAGGAUCCAGCAUUGCCGUGAGCUGUGGUGUAGGUCACAGAUGCGGCUCGGAUCCCGCGUUGCUGUGGCUGUGGCUUAGGCCGGUGGCUAUGGCUCCAAUUUGACCCCUAGCCUGGGAACCUCCAUAGGCCGUGUAUGUGGCCCUAAAAA